rnacentral:lncRNA from 1 species
CCUGCUUUUCCUCCAAUGAAUGAAGCGUGCCCAUCGAAAUAAAACUCAAAGUCAAACUGCGGUUGUUGUCUUAAUGAUCGAAUGUUCCGUUCCUAGCUGGAUGGUCUUUGUUACGGAGUAUUCAAUUCCUACUUAGUAGACGUGCAUUAUUUCCUUUAUUUUGUUCUUUAAAGAAUAAUAUUCAGGCGGGCAUAUUCUAUGGAAUAGUUGCUGUUUUCUGUUUCAGGUUGUGACUUCAGACUGUCAGCUGACAAGGGGUGCACCACUUUACCAGGUAUUCUCGGUAUUUGUUACUACUGCCUGUGGUAACAGCUUUACUUUUUUGAAAUAUGUAUCAUUGAUCACGUUUUCGGCAUUCAUCUGGAUGUUUCUGUAGUACUCAGGUGCUGCUCCUGAAGCUAACCCAUUCCAUGCAGUGUAGCGAGUCCUGUGUGAGAGAAACCUCUAACUGCCUCUAACCAGUUCCCGGAGCCGGAGGAGGACUCAGUCUGAGUCACACAUAUUCUCAGAAUCAUCAGAUUAGGCGAGGAGUUGUUGUCCUGAGUCAGAACAUCCUUUAAAACAGCUGCCCUCUCUGGGGUCUAGAGAGGCUUGGGGUGUUUCAGAGUCUCCUGGAGUAUUUAAUUUUAUGUGUGUGAAGGAUGGGUAUGAAGGGCUAGGAGUCAGGAAGAAAAGUUCACAUGGCUUUUGGCAGUUUCUCUAGUGGUCCCCCUAGUAAAGAAGUAGGGCAUUUUUAAAGUCACUUUACACUGAACACCAAUGGCUUCUUAUUAAUAAAAGCAAAAUUUGCAAGACAAAU